CGUAGGCGGCUUUGCAAGUCGGGUGUGAAAUCCCCAGGCUUAACCUGGGAACUGCAUUCGAGACUGCAUUGCUAGAGUAUGGGAGAGGGAAGUGGAAUUUCCGGUGUAGCGGUGAAAUGCGUAGAUAUCGGAAGGAACAUCAGUGGCGAAAGCGACUUCCUGGACCAAUACUGACGCUCAUGUGCGAAAGCGUGGGGAGCAAACA
rnacentral:rRNA from 1 species